rnacentral:rRNA from 1 species
CCUACGGGUUGCAGCAGUGGGGGAUAUCGCACAAUGGGCGCAAGCCUGAUGCAGCCAUGCCGCGUGUAUGAAGAAGGCCUUCGGGUUGUAAAGUACUUUCAGCGGGGAGGAAGGUGUUGUGGUUAAUAACCACAGCAAUUGACGUUACCCGCAGAAGAAGCACCGGCUAACUCCGCGCCAGCAGCCGCAGUAAUACGGAGGAUGCAAGCGUUAAUCGGAAUUACUGGGCGUAAAGCGCACGCAGGCGGUCUGUCAAGUCGGAUGUGAAAUCCCCGGGCUCAACCUGGGAACUGCAUUCGAAACUGGCAGGCUAGAGUCUUGUAGAGGGGGGUAGAAUACCAGGUGUAGCGGUGAAAUGCGUAGAGAUCUGGAGGAAUACCGGUGGCGAAGGCGGCCCCCUGGACAAAGACUGACGCUCAGGUGCGAAAGCGUGGGGAGCAAACAGGAUUAGAUACCCCAGUAGUC